rnacentral:tRNA from 1 species
GAGGGCAUAGCUCAGUGGUGGAGCGUGUGCCUAGCAUGCGCGAGGUCCUGGGUUCAGUCCCCAGCACCCCUC